CUCGAUAGCUCAAUAGGUAGAGCGGCGGUCUAGAUACCCGAAGAUGCGAGUUCAAAUCCCGCUCGAG
rnacentral:tRNA from 1 species